rnacentral:rRNA from 1 species
UACGAAGGGGGCUAGCGUUGUUCGGAAUUACUGGGCGUAAAGGGCGCGUAGGCUGUGCUGUAAGUCAGGCGUGAAAGCCCCGGGCUCAACCUGGGAAUUGCGCUUGAUACUGCGGCGCUGGAAGGUGGGAGAGGAUGGCGGAAUUCCCAGUGUAGAGGUGAAAUUCGUAGAUAUUGGGAAGAACACCGGUGGCGAAGGCGGCUAUCUGGACCGACAUUGACGCUGAUGCGCGAAAGCGUGGGGAGCAAACAGG